AACCCCUGUGAACAUACCAAUUGUUGCCUCGGCGGAUCAGCCCGCUCCCGGUAAAACGGGACGGCCCGCCAGAGGACCCCUAAACUCUGUUUCUAUAUGUAACUUCUGAGUAAAACCAUAAAUAAAUCAAAACUUUCAACAACGGAUCUCUUGGUUCUGGCAUCGAUGAAGAACGCAGCAAAAUGCGAUAAGUAAUGUGAAUUGCAGAAUUCAGUGAAUCAUCGAAUCUUUGAACGCACAUUGCGCCCGCCAGUAUUCUGGCGGGCAUGCCUGUUCGAGCGUCAUUUCAACCCUCAAGCCCCCGGGUUUGGUGUUGGGGAUCGGCGAGCCCUUGCGGCAAGCCGGCCCCGAAAUCUAGUGGCGGUCUCGCUGCAGCUUCCAUUGCGUAGUAGUAAAACCCUCGCAACUGGUACGCGGCGCGGCCAAGCCGUUAAACCCCCAACUUCUGAAUGUUGACCUCGGAUCAGGUAGGAAUACCCGCUGAACUUAAGCAUAUCAAUAAAGCCGGAGGAAUACAACUCCCAAACCCCUGUGAACAUACCAAUUGUUGCCUCGGCGGAUCAGCCCGCUCCCGGUAAAACGGGACGGCCCCGCC
rnacentral:rRNA from 1 species